rnacentral:rRNA from 1 species
CGCCUCUUGCCCCCCAAUAUAAGAGGUCCAGCCUGCCCAGUGACUCUGUUCAACGGCCGCGGUAUCCUAACCGUGCAAAGGUAGCGUAAUCACUUGUUCUUUAAAUAAGGACUAGUAUGAAAGGCAUCACGAGGGCUAAACUGUCUCCUCUCUCUAAUCAGUGAAACUAGUCUCCCCGUGAAAAAACGGGGAUAUUUUUAUAAGACGAGAAGACCCUAUGGAGCUUUAAAUUUCUCAUCACCUGCACCCCCCCCCCUAUCAAUUUCAGAAAACAAACUCAUACCCGCACCAUGAUUGAAAAUUUUAGGUUGGGGCGACCACGGAGAAAAGCCAACCCUCCACGUUGUAAGGGGAAAUCCCCCCAAACAAGAAGUAACAACUUUAUGUAUCAGUAAAAUUGACAUCCAUUGACCCAUUAUUUGAUCAACGAACCAAGUUACCCUAGGGAUAACAGCGCUAUCCACUUUGAGAGCUCCUAUCGACAAGUGGGCUUACGACCUCGAUGUUGGAUCAGGGUGUCCAAGUGGUGCAGCCGCUACUUAAGGUUCGUUUGUUCAACGAUUAAAACCCU